rnacentral:rRNA from 1 species
CCUACGGGGGUCAGCAGUCGAGAAUCAUUCACAAUGGGGGAAACCCUGAUGGUGCGACGCCGCGUGGGGGAAUGAAGGUCUUCGGAUUGUAAACCCCUGUCAUGUGGGAGCAAAUUAAAAAGAUAGUACCCCAAGAGGAAGAGACGGCUAACUCUGUGCCAGCAGCCGCGGUAAUACAGAGGUCUCAAGCGUUGUUCGGAAUCACUGGGCGUAAAGCGUGCGUAGGCUGUUUCGUAAGUCGUGUGUGAAAGGCGCGGGCUCAACCCGCGGACGGCACAUGAUACUGGGAGACUAGAGUAAUGGAGGGGGAACCGGAAUUCUCGGUGUAGCAGUGAAAUGCGUAGAUAUCGAGAGGAACACUCGUGGCGAAGGCGGGUUCCUGGACAUUAACUGACGCUGAGGCACGAAGGCCAGGGGAGCGAAAGGGAUUAGAUACCCGUGUAGUC